AUGAAGAAUAAUGACAGACUAAAAGAAAAACUAUGCACCAAACGAAAUCCCCAUGAGCUGCAAAUAUCUAUUCAACUCAGUGAUUCAUCCUUCAACUCAACUCUGCAUUUCUGUAAUGUGCCAAGAGCUCCGCUGGCCUCUGGGGAAAUAGAUGAAAGUUUCUUGCCUGUGUGAGGCUGGGAGACUAUUUACUGGAGCAAAGACCUGCAGUCAGAGAAGACAGAGGAUGUUUUAGUUAUGCUUCCUGUUGUUUUGAAAAAAUAAAAAUACCCUGAAGAAAGCAACUCUGGGGGCUGGAGAGAUGGCUCAGUGGUUAUGAGAGCAUUCUGGCCUUGCAGAGGAUCCAAGGUUGGUUCCCAGCACCCACAAUGGGCAGCUCCCAACUGCCUGUAACUGUUUACCCAGGGAAUCU
rnacentral:lncRNA from 1 species